GCCCGGAUGGUCUAGUGGUAUGAUUCUCGCUUGUAAGUUGCCCUGAUCAACAAUCGAUCAGUAAUUUCGAUACUAACGAAAAUAUCUAGUGGGCUAUAUAUGGUACCAAUCUGCGAGAGGUCCCGCGUUCAAACCGCGGUUCGGGCC